CAUGGAAGUCGAAAUCCGCUAAGGAGUGUGUAACAACUCACCUGCCGAAUGGACUAGCCCCGAAAAUGGAUGACGCUCAAGCGGGUGGCCGAUACUCAACCAUUGUUGCAAGGACCUUGCACCAAUGAGUAGGAGGGCAUGGAGGUUUGUGAUGCAGCCUUUGGCGUAAGCCUAGGUGAAACAUCCUCUAGUGCAGAUCUUGGUGGUAGUAGCAAAUAUUCAAGUGAGAACCUUGAAGAUUGAAGUGGAGAAGGGUUCCAUGUGAACAGUAAUUGGACAUGGGUUAGUCGAUCCUAAGAGACAGGGAUGUUCCGCUCACGCAGGCUUUGUCUCGCUUCUCGAAAGGGAAUGGGGUUAAUAUUCCCUAACCAGGACGUGGAUAUUGUAUGGCAACGUAAGAGAAUUCGGUGACGCAGGGGGGAGCCCUGGGAAGCGUUGUCUUUUCUUCUUAACCACCCGUUACCCUGAAAUCAGAUUGCCUGGAGAUAGGGUCAAGCGGUGGGUAAAGCACCUUGUCUUCCGAGGUGUCCGGUGCGCUCUCCACUGUCCUUGAAAAACCGAAGGAUUGUUUUAUUCACACCCCUGGCCGUACCCAUAACCGCAUCAGGUCUCCAAGGUUAGCAGCCUCUGGUCUAUAGAGCAAAGUAGGUAAGGGAAGUCGGCAAAACAGAUCCGUAACUUCGGGAAAAGGAUUGGCUCUGAG
rnacentral:rRNA from 13 species